UACGUAGGGGGGCAAGCGUUUGUCCGGAUUUAUUGGGCGUAAAGAGCGUGUAGGCGGUUAGGUAGGUCCGUUGUGAAAACUCGAGGCUCAACCUCGAGACGCCGAUGGAAACCAUCUGACUAGAGUCCGGAAGAGGAGAGUGGAAUUCCUGGUGUAGCGGUGAAAUGCGCAGAUAUCAGGAAGAACACCCGUGGCUAAGGCGGCUCUCUAGUACGUGACUGACGCUGAGACGCGAAAGCGUGGGGAGCGAACACGG
rnacentral:rRNA from 1 species